UACGUAGGGGGCAAGCGUUGUCCGGAGUUACUGGGCGUAAAGAGCGCGUAGGCGGCACGGUACGACCGGUGUGAAAGCCCCCGGCUCAACUGGGGAGGGUCACCGGUAACGGCCGAGCUAUGAGUGCAGGAGAGGGAAGUGGAACUCCGGGAGUAGCGGUGAAAUGCGUAGAGACCCGGAGGAACACCAGUGGCGAAGGCGGCUUCCUGGUCUGCAACUGACGCUGUGGCGCGAAAGCUAGGGGAGCAAACGGG
rnacentral:rRNA from 1 species